UACGUAGGGGGCAAGCGUUGUCCGGAUUCAUUGGGCGUAAAGAGCUCGUAGGCGGCUUGUCAAGUCGGGUGUGAAAACUCCAGGCUCAACCUGGAGACGCCACCCGAUACUGCCAUGGCUUGAGUCCGGUAGGGGACCACGGAAUUCCUGGUGUAGCGGUGAAAUGCGCAGAUAUCAGGAGGAACACCGGUGGCGAAGGCGGUGGUCUGGGCCGGUACUGACGCUGAGGAGCGAAAGCGUGGGGAGCGAACAGG
rnacentral:rRNA from 1 species